AGACCACACGCAGAAUCGCACAUUGAAGCAACACAAAUCUACGAUGAGGCUGUUUGUUAAACAGACCUCAACCGAAACAUAAUUGCAAUGCUUUAGGGAAAGUCCCCGGACCUCAUGGUAGAAAGUAUCACCAAUAAUGACUGGUCUGUCUGAGUCGCGAGAGAUUUGAUCGUUUUGAUCGGGCUGAGAUCGCUUUCUCUGAUUGCGAGAUGCUCCUCAACGAUCUGAUUUCGUGGUUCAGUGAUUGUCAUCAUGUUACAGUUAUGCGAUUGUGGUUGUCCUUCAUAAGAUGAUCAUAACUCAACGGGGCUCACUCGCGACGUGGUC
rnacentral:RNase_MRP_RNA from 1 species